UGCCCUCUCCAUCCUCCUCCUCAAGACGUCACCAUCGCCUCCGUUCGUCUUCUCCCGCGCCGGCGCCGUCGAGGCCGAGUCGUUCCACUUCCCGCUCUGGCAGGUCUGCGCGGCCGCGUGCGGGGCGUUCGUCUUCUCCCGCGCCGAUGUCGUCGAGGCCGAGGCGUUCGACUUCCCGCUCUGGCAGGUCUGCGCGACCGCGUGCGGGGUGGGGCCGGCCGAGGUGGCGUCCCUCGACGGGCACACCAGGCUGCGCGCCGCCGCCGCGGCUGGCAGGACCGGCGUCGGCGUGGCCAACCCCACGGCCGUGGCCGUCACCCACGUGUUCCACAACAAGCAUGAGUUCCCCUUCUGGCCGUGGCCACAACCGACGCUGCCGAUUCCAUGGAGGAGCUCACCCCGGCCUUCUCCUCGUUUUCCUCCAUGGUCGGGUCUCCUGGUGGAGGUGCCGAUGUUGCCGGUUCCACAAUGCAAGAGCCCGUGGCAACGCGGCAAACUGAAGUUGUUCGCCGGCGUCGCACAGGGCGUCUUUGGCGUCGCAGGAAACCCUACCUUGGGGUUGGCACAGGGCAUCUCUGGCGUCGUAGGAAACCCCACCGCGGGGCUGGUGCAGGGAGUGGCCGACCAUCCCACCCUGCUGAAGCCGCAGGGCGUCUCUGCCAAGUCCAUGGUUGGCGAGUCCAACAUAGAAGUUAAUUUUUCUCCAUGAAGUUGAUAUGAUGCGAAGCUGCUGCCAGAUUGAAGGUUAAUUGAGUUCUCAUCUCCAAAAUGUUUGCAUUCUAAGUAUCCUCUUUGAUUCAGCGGUUCCAUGAUGCUACAGUUCACUUGUUUUUCACCUCUUGAUGCUGCUAUACACAGAAGGUGUUUGCUAAUUUGCACAUUAAAAUUUUCUGAUAAACUAUGCCAAUAUCACAUGCAUAUGCAUUUUUUAGUGAUGUUUGAUUAUUAAUCCAUGCUACAAUAAAUAGCUCUGCUGCCUUGCUUUUCAUAAUUUAAAUUUGUAUUUAUUUUCUUAUAUUCAAACAAAUGUUUGUAGAGAACAGUGUUCGGCGACUUAGAUAGCUUUAGUGAGUUGAUGGUUUGACUUGCUAGGUAUGCCUGCAAGGAGGACACUGUAAUUUGGUCCAACAAGUACACACAACAAUCUUCUGAUUGUUCAACAUUCUUUAUUGCGUGAAUUUCUGACAUAUCAGGAUGCAGGUACAUGACACUAUUGUGUUGUCUGCAGAGGUUCUCAUUCUGAAAGAAACUGCAACUAUGUAAGAGCUUAUUACGCAGAUUAUGAAAUUUGCAGUUCAAGUUCUGGACAUCAGAUUGAUACUUUACCAAAGGUGCACCAAUCGGCCCUCCGUCUCCUAGGGUGAUGGCACAAUGACAUCGACAGCGGCAGCAAUUGCGCACAGAUUGAUGCGCCAUGCUCAGGCAAUAAUAGUCCAAGCUUCAUCGUGUAAUAAGCUCCACCUGCGUGCACAGGUAAGUGGUUCUGGUACUGCUUCUGUUUUUGUUUGUUAUAUUUGCUGCCAGUCUGAUUGCUACUAUCUACUGUACGUGCUUAUUGUUUGGCUUUGAAGAGAUAUUUGCUCGAUGUUAUGCCAAUUAAUUUCAAACAGAUGGUAAACUGUGAUUUGCUCCUCAAUUUGUAUUGUAUCUGAGAUCUCAUUUGUGCGUACAAUAUUAGCUUCUUCAUGGCAAUUUCAAUGUUACAUGUACCAUAAGCCAAUCAAUAUCUGCACCGUAUUGGUCUGAUGCUUUCUUACCCUCUCAUCCUUAAUUAAUAGGCAUUUUCCAAUAUUGGUCUGAUGCUUUGCAAACUCACUUGUAUUCUCCAUGUUAUUUACACGAUAUCUUGAAGGUUCAUGGUCCGAAUAUAAAUAAGAUUCGGUUCUUCUCUUAGAAACUUAGCCUUCUGCUUAUAUUUGCAUUUGCUAUUGAUGAUGUAAUUUGAGCAAAUACCCCAUAUCCUUUUUACCAAGUUUGGAUAAAAGCAUAUAUAAGUCUGAUUUUAACAAUAUUCUGUGAUCGACUAUGUGUUUGCCCAAAAUUUAUUAGAUGACAUGGAAUGCUUGAUUAAUGAUAUCAUUUUUUUUUAUUUCUUUGUGGUUCCUGGUGUGAAGCAACAGAUUUGAAUAAAAAUAUUUAUUUAUUUAGAAACAUUUUUAAGUUUAUCUGUACAUAUUGAUAUUAGCUUGAAUUUUGAACAAGAAAUAGUUUCUUAAUACGUACUUUUGAAUUUUAUGCACUUGUAUGUACACUGCUACUAACGGUGCUCUUGAUCAUGUCAUACACGAGUACUAAUGGUGCAUGCCUUAAUAUUGGAAUGGAAUGAAUACCAGCUUAUGUAGAGAAGCAAGGCCUUUUCGUAUUUGAGGAAGAAUGUCAUGCAACCAUUCAAGAAGAAUAGGAUGGGUAUUCCAGUAAUCCUAUGGAUUAGUCUCUAUAGUUGUUGGCAGCCUAUAAAGCAGAGGUAUCUAUGACUAAAUAAAUAAAAAUUGAUGACUUACUAUUUUACAAUAUUAGUUUCGACUAUAGUGUUGCUGACUAAAUCAUGCUACCUCUCAUUAUUGCGGCGUCUCGCUAGCAGGGUAUUCCCAUUUAGAUUAUGUUUGCCCUUUUGAUCACCGGCACGGCUGUAGCCGUCCAUGUAGGCGUCGGCGGCAGUAGGGGGGAGGGGACAUCGGAGCCGUCGGUGAUAUUGGAGGAAUCAAUCUAGCCGACCAUCCUUUGAAUGACACAGUUUUGCUACCUCCCACUGAUAACCUUUAGGAGCUAUGGAGAGGAGGGUUAGGAGGGUGGCGAGCCAGCGGCGUGAAGAGAAAAUGUUAGGGUCACAAUAGCAAACGAGUUCAUCUUGCCUGGGUUGCGCUGAUAAGAAAGAAGAUAGAGCUUCAGGUGAGGCAUAUCGUCCCUAGGAAUUUGUUGGUAUCGAGGAUUGUUCCAGGAAGCACUUCUGAUGACAACAUGAUGUUGGGCCUCGGGGACAUGGUAACCAACAGAAACUUAUUGAAGCACAUUGUUGUCAUCAUCCACUUAGUGCCCGCCGGGUCACGCUCAGCAGCAACGGUGCACGGCGAUGGGAAAGACGCAGGGGUGGCGGGAUCAUCACCAGUGGGGCCGUCGGGGAGAAGAUGGAGGCAGAUAAGAAAGGAACGGGCUCGGUUGGGUGUGAAAAGGAGAAUGAGAGAGAUAGCGAUGAUGUGGUGCUGCACCACUGCUCUCCUACUGCUAGCUGAAUUUUGGUAUUGUUGCUGCUAUCUGAAUUUCGCACACACACGGCGAGGUGUGC
rnacentral:rRNA from 1 species